AAAUGAAUUGACGGGGGCCCGCACAAGCGGUGGAGCAUGUGGCUUAAUUCGAGGCAACGCGAAGAACCUUACCUGGGCUUGACAUAUACAGGACCAUCCAUGGAAACAUGGACUUUCUUCGGAACUUGUAUACAGGUGCUGCAUGGCUGUCGUCAGCUCGUGCCGUGAGGUGUUCGGUUAAGUCCGGCAACGAGCGCAACCCGUAUCACUAGUUGCCAUCAGGUAAUGCUGGGAACUCUAGUGAGACUGCCCGUGUUAAGCGGGAGGAAGGCGCGGACGACGUCAAGUCAGUAUGGCCCUUAUGCCCAGGGCUGCACACGUGCUACAAUGGCCGGUACAAUGGGAAGCAAUACCGCGAGGUGGAGCAAAUCCUCAAAGCCGGCCUUAGUUCGGAUUGGAGUCUGCAACUCGACUCCAUGAAGUCGGAAUCGCUAGUAAAGGCGUAUCAGCUACGACGCCUUGAAUACGUUCCCGGGCCUUGUACACACCGCCCGU
rnacentral:rRNA from 1 species